UUUAGUUAUUUUUUUUGUUUAAAGUAAAGUUGAUAACCCUGUUUUGCGCUAUUUUUUUGUUUUGUUCUUCUACGAUUUUACGAUGUUACACGUGUUCAGUACCUCAUGUUAAAUAUAUCCGAAAUUAUUAAAGUACGUACAAAUAAUUUUAUUUAAUAUUGUUGAGCGCUAAUUGAUCUAAGCAGCUACAGCACACCUUGGAAUAACAUUUUAUUUGUUCUAUAUUUUGGGGACACUUUUAUACACAGUGAUCGUUCUCCUUCUUAUUUAAGCUCCGUGAUCGUUUAUGUGAAUAUUUUUUUUCAUCAUUUUAAUAAAAACAAUUUUUACAAGUAUGCCGAAAACUAAUUCCGAAAAGUAUCGUGAAUAUCGGCAGAAAAAAGAACUUGGAAUCUGUAUAAUAUGUAAUGUAAUAUAUGUAGAAUAUAUAAUGUAAAAUAAUUUUUAUAAA